GAUGAACGCUAGCGGCAGGCCUAACACAUGCAAGUCGAGGGGUAGCAGGGUAGCAAUACCGCUGACGACCGGCGCACGGGUGAGUAAUACAUAUGCAACCUUCCUUUAACUGGGGCAUAGCCCGGAGAAAUCCGGAUUAAUACCCCAUAAGAUCAUAGAGAGGCAUCUUUUAGUGAUUAAAGCUCCGGCGGUUAAAGAUGGGCAUAUGUGCCAUUAGCUAGUUGGUGAGGUAACGGCUCACCAAGGCUACGAUGGUUAGGGGGUCUGAGAGGAUGAUCCCCCA
rnacentral:rRNA from 1 species